UACGUAGGGUGCGAGCGUUAAUCGGAAUUACUGGGCGUAAAGCGUGCGCAGGCGGUUCGUCGUGUCCGAUGUGAAAGCCCCGGGCUCAACCUGGGAAUGGCAUUGGAAACUGGCGGACUCGAGUGUGGCAGAGGGGGGUGGAAUUCCGCGUGUAGCAGUGAAAUGCGCAGAUAUCAGGAGGAACACCGGUGGCGAAGGCGGAUCUCUGGGCCAUUACUGACGCUGAGGAGCGAAAGCGUGGGGAGCGAACAGG
rnacentral:rRNA from 1 species